rnacentral:rRNA from 1 species
CACAUGCAGUCGAACGGUAACAUAAGAGCUUGCUCUUGAUGACGAGUGGCGCACGGGCGAGUAACGCGCAUGCAAUCUACCUAUAACUGAGGGAUAGCCCAGAGAAAUUUGGAUUAAUACCUCAUAAUAAUAUUUUUUGGCAUCAUUAAAUAUUUAAAACUCCGGUGGUUAUAGAUGAGCAUGCGUUCUAUUAGUUUGUUGGUGAGGUAAAGGCUCACCAAGACUACGAUAGAUAGGGGGCCUGAAAGGGUGAUCCCCCACACUGGUACUGAGACACGGACCAGACUCCUACGGGAGGCAGCAGUGAGGAAUAUUGCACAAUGGAGGAAACUCUGAUGCAGCCAUGCCGCGUGCAGGAUGACGGCCCUAUGGGUUGUAAACUGCUUUUUUACAAGAAGAAACCUUGGUACGUGUACCAGCUUGACGGUAUUGUAAGAAUAAGCACCGGCUAACUCCGUGCCAGCAGCCGCGGUAAUACGGAGGGUGCAAGCGUUAUCCGGAUUUAUUAGGUUUAAAGGGUUCGCAGGCGGAAUUUUAAGUCAGUGGUGAAAGCCUAUAGCUCAACUAUAAAACUGCCAUUGAUACUGAAAUUCUUGAGAAUAUAUGAAGUGGGCGGAAUAUGUCAUGUAGCGGUGAAAUGUAUAAAUA